GUGAGUGUAGCCGAGUGGUUAAGGCGCCAGGUUGUGGCCCUGGAGAACGAGGGUUCGAACCCCUCCACUCACCCCA
rnacentral:tRNA from 1 species